GACAGUUUGACCGAGUGGUCCAAGGCGUUGGCUUCAAGCGUCUGUCCGAAAGGGCGUGGGUUCGAAUACAAAAGCUGUCA
rnacentral:tRNA from 1 species